GCCUUCAUGAAGCUGGAAUUGCUAGUAAUGGCAGGUCAGCAUACUACGGUGAAUACGUUCCCGGGCCUUGUACACACCGCCCGUCAAACCAUGAGAGUUGGCAACACCCGAAGUCGGUAGUCUAACCGCAAGGAGGACGCCGCCGAAGGUGGGGUUGAUGAUUAGGGUUAAGUCGUAACAAGGUAUC
rnacentral:rRNA from 1 species